AGUGGUUCUCGGGUGACACGCCCCAGAAUUGGGCUCCCUCCUCUCUGGUUCUGGGUGCUUCAUCUGAGAAAUGCA
rfam:Myotis brandtii contig184326, whole genome shotgun sequence.